CUAGGAAGACACUCUCCUCAAGCACUGCUACUGCAAAGCCUGUGCUCAGAACCUCAAUUCUAAGAUCCUUUCCUGUCGAUGAUAAACCGGGAAAUGCCCUAAGUAACGUGCUCUGCUAUUAGCUCAUUUCAGCUGCACAGCAGCUCUGUGAGUCCGGUGAGAUGAUGCGCACCUUACAGACGAGGGGACUGAGGCUCGGAUGGGAAAAGCCCACUGUCUUUCUGAUGCCUGAUGUGUACUGGGGUGCAGCCCAAGUCCUCUACCCCUCUCCCCCUGGCUCCAACGGAAAGCCGGCAACACUCCUCUAUUACCCAGGAAGUGUCCCGUCUUGUCACCGCGUACGAGGCUUGUGGAUUGGCAGGAUUACUAUGAAGAAGGACACUGUGGAGUGGUGGCUGUGGACACAGAUUCUAGAGCCAGACAUUCAAUCGCAGCCUCAACCACUUCCUAGCUGGGUCACCUUGGACAAAGCGACUUCACAUCUCUGUGCCUCAGUGUUCCUGUCUGCACAAUGGAAUAUUAGUUGUAAUUACCUCAGAGGGCUGUUGGAGGCUUAAUCCAAGUCAAGCAAUUCGGGAAAUGGAUAUCAGCUUCCUGGCCUUUUGCUAGAGGUGGAGCCCUGAUUUGAACUCUAGCAGGCCCUGUUCUCUGCACCUCGCCUACAUUCACGGAAUCAUUCUUCCCAACCAUCUUGAAAGGGCCUGACGUCAGAAGCAAGUGUUACUCUGAGCCCUGCCUUGGACAUCCACAAGCAAACCUAUCACCCAGAGUGUGGAAGCUGGGAAGAGUUUGUUUCUUUCUUCUGUCAGAGAUUCAUAGAGCCUGAAGCUGGGAAAACCCUCAAAAACAAUCCAAGUCAUCCACUGCCCCCUUUCCAAUGGAUAGGAAACCAAAGUCCAUGGAGGAGGCAGAGAGCUGAGCCAGGUGGGAGACCCAGCUUCCUUGGAAGUCGCUUCUGGAGUCCCUUUGAGCUGGUGUUGUUCCCCUCAGAGGCUGUCACAGAAUGCCCGCUUCAGCAGUUCUUCAGCCUGGCUGCCCAUCAGAGUCCUCAUGUGGAGAGCUGCACCCUUGACUCUGCUUUGUUGGUGAGGACAGCGUCCUGGACACAGCCGUUGUGGUGAAGAUUCCCGGGUGAUUCUAAUGAGAGCACCUGCACCAGAUGCUGUUUAAGGUGCAGCAGGUGAUUCUGAGAUGCUUGGACUGAAGUUCCUGGGCUCAGGAGACACCAGGGCCAGUGGGAGACAGGACAGGUAAGGGAACGGCAAAAAGGUGAUGGGAUUUGCUCUAUGACAGGGGUGUAAAAGUCUACCCGGGUUGCUUCAGAGAGGAGGUAGCAUUUGAACAUGAAUCAUCCAUGUAGUCAACAUUCGGGGACUAUUUAUUGAGCACCCACUACGUAUCUUGGACAGUUCCAGAUGUUGGCGAUAUGGCAGUGACGCAGAGGAAGUCCACGUCCUCCUGGAGCUUCUAUUCUAGUAAGGAUGUCCCAUGAAGAGUCCAUGGGAGUUUGAUAUGCAUGGACGCAGGAGAAAGGUACUCUAGGGAGAUGGAGCAUCAUGAGCAGAUGGCAGGAAAGAAGAGGGCUUAUUUUAGCAGUGAUAUUUGAUGUGGCCAGAGCUUUGACAUGAAAUACAGAAGUGGUAAAAGAUGAGAAAAGAGAUCCAAGUAGGACCCUGAUGAUGAGAGCGGGUACUUGGAGGCCCUGUCCAAGAAUUGGAAUUAAUCCUGAUGACAACGAGGAGCCAUGUCAAGGUUGUGAACAGAGGAGUCACUUGAUCAGAUUUGUGUUUAGAACAAUGACUCUGGGGGCAGUGUGGAACAAGCUGGCCCACUGGCCCAUCCUAGGUGGUUCUUUCUCGUGAACCUAUCUCAGUCAAGAUCCUAAAGUUUUGGUUUCCUCUCGAGGGGGGCUUACAUGAGGCAGGGUUUGUAGGCAAGGAGCAAUGAGCAAGUGGCCACAUGUUGGGUGCACUCUUCCAAACCUUGUACAGAUAGGAACUUAUUUAAUCUCCACCACACCCGCUUAGGUAGGCAUGAUUCUUAUUCCCAUUUUAGAGAUGGUGAACCUAAGGCUCAAAGAACUGAAUCCACUUUCCCAAGGUCACAUAGCUGGUAAGUCACAGAACCAGGAUUUGAUCCCAGGUGGUCUACACCCAUAAGCACUAUGCUGUACUAAAUACCUAUUAACUUCAAGAACUCAUGGUCUCGAAGGUAUGCCAUAGAGGCAUCUUCGAAAUUCCUGUGCUUCCAAGAAGGCAAGUGUCAUUUAACCUCAUUUUGA